UUAGUGCAAUGAAGAAAAACUGGGUGAAGGAUGAAUGAAAGCAGCNGGCACCGAAUAAUUUAAGAUGGGGACAUGCGAAGAAGCAGAGAAAGGAAAGAACUGAACUUGAAGGUCAAAGAAGAGAGAAAAAUUAACUUUAAACAGGGAAGUGUUGAAAAGCUUCCCACUUGGUGAACAUCUGUCCAAAGGUUCCGAAGUUGUACCUGUCAUGUCUGACAGAGUCUCCAGUUCUCGGGCAGCAGAAGGCCCCAGAGCGAUGGUGUGGAUGAUGGCACCNCUNCGAGAGACNGUCUCAAAGCANGAACUUAUUCCAUUAUCUUCCCCAUCUGUCAGCAAUACGAUCUCAGAACCGGAAGUGCUCUGGUGACUGGAGGUCAGAAUACUAUUAAAUGAGUGAACUCUGAAUUUAGGACCCUAUUCAAAUCCAGGAAACAGGGCAAGGGAGGAGGUGGAAAGAGCCUUAGAGCUGGAGCUGUGAGGCGCCCUCUACUGGCCAUGACGUGGUCACUGCACUAUGAACUCAGCUCUGGACACCUGCACAAGAUCAAGUCAGGCAACAUUUAUCCAGCACCAAGCACACCACUCGCCUUCUGGAUUUGAGCAGUGAAAAUGUAGGUGGAGGCGGAGCU
rnacentral:lncRNA from 1 species